rnacentral:rRNA from 1 species
AUUUAUAAUCUGGCACCUUCGGUGUCCGAGUUGUAAUCUCUAGAAGUGUUUUCCGCGUUGGACCGCACACAAGUCUGUUGGAAUACAGCGGCAUAGUGGUGAAACCCCCGUAUAUGGUGCGGACGCCCAGCGCUUUGUGAUACACUUUCAAUGAGUCGAGUUGUUUGGGAAUGCAGCUCAAAUUGGGUGGUAAAUUCCAUCUAAAGCUAAAUAUUGGCGAGAGACCGAUAGCGAACAAGUACCGUGAGGGAAAGAUGAAAAGCACUUUGGAAAGAGAGUUAACAGUACGUGAAAUUGUUGGAAGGGAAACGCUUGAAGUCAGACUUGCUUGCCGGAGCUUGCUUCGGUUUGCAGGCCAGCAUCAGUUUUCCGGGGUGGAUAAUAACGGUUUGAAGGUAGCAGUCUCGGCUGUGUUAUAGCUUUCCGUUGGAUACAUCCUGGGGGACUGAGGAACGCAGCGUGCUUUUUGCGAAAGACUCGUCUUUUUCACGCUUAGGAUGCUGGUGGAAUGGCUUUAAACGACCCGUCUUGAAACACGG